rnacentral:tRNA from 1 species
UUGUGUGUAGCUCAGUGGGAGAGUGCUUACCUGGCAUUCGUAAGCCUCUGGGUUUAAUCCCCAGGACCAUAAA